GAGGUUCCUGUGCCCACAGUGCCUUUCUGCUGCCCCUCUGCUCCAUCCCUCUGCCCUUGUCCCACACAGCGGGGCACAAAGGGAAAGGGCAUCAACGAGAAGUUCUGGGUCAGUUCUUGUUCCAUGCUUGCCAGUGACCUCGAGACAAAAAGGGGUGGCUGCACUCACUCCAGGGUACGUGGCAGGAAAAAGGAGCAAGUAGAGAGACAUCAUGGCUUCCCUGGGAUCUUUUCUCCUU